rnacentral:rRNA from 2 species
AGAGUUUGAUCCUGGCUCAGGACGAACGCUGGCGGCGCGCCUAACACAUGCAAGUCGAACGAGAGAUGAAGAGCUUGCUCUUCAGAUCGAGUGGCGAACGGGUGAGUAACGCGUGAGGAACCUGCCUCAAAGAGGGGGACAACAGUUGGAAACGACUGCUAAUACCGCAUAAGCCCACGGCUCGGCAUCGAGCAGAGGGAAAAGGAGCAAUCCGCUUUGAGAUGGCCUCGCGUCCGAUUAGCUAGUUGGUGAGGUAACGGCCCACCAAGGCGACGAUCGGUAGCCGGACUGAGAGGUUGAACGGCCACAUUGGGACUGAGACACGGCCCAGACUCCUACGGGAGGCAGCAGUGGGGAAUAUUGCACAAUGGGGGAAACCCUGAUGCAGCGACGCCGCGUGGAGGAAGAAGGUCUUCGGAUUGUAAACUCCUGUUGUUGAGGAAGAUAAUGACGGUACUCAACAAGGAAGUGACGGCUAACUACGUGCCAGCAGCCGCGGUAAAACGUAGGUCACAAGCGUUGUCCGGAAUUACUGGGUGUAAAGGGAGCGCAGGCGGGAGAACAAGUUGGAAGUGAAAUCCAUGGGCUCAACCCAUGAACUGCUUUCAAAACUGUUUUUCUUGAGUAGUGCAGAGGUAGGCGGAAUUCCCGGUGUAGCGGUGGAAUGCGUAGAUAUCGGGAGGAACACCAGUGGCGAAGGCGGCCUACUGGGCACCAACUGACGCUGAGGCUCGAAAGUGUGGGUAGCAAACAGGAUUAGAUACCCUGGUAGUCCACACCGUAAACGAUGAUUACUAGGUGUUGGAGGAUUGACCCCUUCAGUGCCGCAGUUAACACAAUAAGUAAUCCACCUGGGGAGUACGACCGCAAGGUUGAAACUCAAAGGAAUUGACGGGGGCCCGCACAA